rnacentral:rRNA from 1 species
AACGAACGCUGGCGGCAUGCCUAACACAUGCAAGUCGAACGAGACCUUCGGGUCUAGUGGCGCACGGGUGCGUAACGCGUGGGAACCUGCCUUUAGGUUCGGAAUAACUCAGAGAAAUUUGAGCUAAUACCGGAUAAUGUCUUCGGACCAAAGAUUUAUCGCCUUUAGAUGGGCCCGCGUAAGAUUAGCUAGUUGGUGGGGUAAAGGCCUACCAAGGCGACGAUCUUUAGCUGGUCUGAGAGGAUGAUCAGCCACACUGGGACUGAGACACGGCCCAGACUCCUACGGGAGGCAGCAGUGGGGAAUAUUGGACAAUGGGCGAAAGCCUGAUCCAGCAAUGCCGCGUGAGUGAUGAAGGCCUUAGGGUUGUAAAGCUCUUUUACCCGAGAUGAUAAUGACAGUAUCGGAGAAUAAGCUCCGGCUAACUCCGUGCCAGCAGCCGCGGUAAU